CGUAGAGAUUGGUGCAAGGUACCGUAACGUUGAUACCCAUUUUACACUGUAUGCAGUAGUGGCAAUGAAAAUCCUUUGGGAUGCACGGGAGGAAGCUCUGGUUUCAAACACUUGAGAUUACAAGGGAAAUUGAAGACCAAGAUAAUGAGAAUGCUUGGACCAUGAUAGAUAUGCCUAUUGCCUACCCGUGAACUGGAAAUGCAACACCAAUGUCUUCAAUGGCCCAGCCCUUUCUAAAUGAGGACGCUGACUUCAAUUUAUGUCCACCAUUGAAGAAAAAUGAGAACCUCUUGAUUGAACUUCAAAGAAAUAUGCCAAGUAGUGGCGAUGAAAAUCCUUUGGGGGACACGAGAGGAAGUGCUGCUUUUUUGCAAACGCAAAACAAGUGUGUGUCUUACUGUUUUCAUGCAUCAUGUGAUCAAAAUAAUGUAGGCCCGGCUGCGGUUCUCAGAGUUCAAGACUGGAAUGCCAUUGGCCAAAGAGGAGAGACUUGAACAAGUUGUGAUAGAGGGUAUAACGAAAUGAAAUCAAUGAGGGAAUUUGAUGGUACAAAUGAACUCCUAACAUGGGUUGCAGCAUUUCAUAUGCAGAUUCUUGCAUUUUCGGUCUGCUGGUACCUACAGACUACAGUGUUAUAGGCCAAGCCGUGUUCAUAUUCACUUAUUUUGCUGUCUUGUGGGUUUAUACAGAAUAAGAAUAAACAUCACAUUGUGCUCUGUAUUGGUUAUCGAGGUGAAUCUUAUACUUCAUUGAAUGCAUUAUUGCUCUUGUUUGAGAAUAUAAUUGGGGGAUCCCUCUCCUGAAGAUUUUAAAAUUUCUUUUUUCAGGCUUGUAUUAUGUGUAAAUCCUAGGCUAUGUGUGCAGGUUGAGAAUUUCAGCUAUUACCUUCUCCAUUACUAUGUUCUCAUAUGCUGGAAUACUCGCGUUAGCUGGCUUUUGUAGCAAAUUCGAUUAUUUUUAUGGUAUGUAUGCUCUUUACACAUGGCUUGUUCCCCUUAAAUUGGCUAAGAUCGAUGCACCAUCAUUUUAAUUAAUACUCAAGAAAGGCUGAAGCAAGUUUUUUUGAGUCAUCUUAUGCUUCUCCUCAGUCCUUGGGAA